GUUUGUGGUUUGGUGCUUCUUGAAGAGGAUACGGAGAAGGCAAGGUAGAUAGAGAUUUUAGGGGAAGGUUUCCCUUUAUGGAGAGAGACUUUUAACGUGUGGUUGUGGUGGAGCGGGAGUUGUCGUGGUACCCUGAAUUGUUACGGGGUAUUGUUGUCCUUUUCCUUAUUACAUGAAGGGCGUUCCAUAGACUCUCUAUCGACCACACAGACAAGUUCCCAGAUGUCAGAAAAUCGUUUACUGUCCAUGAGAUGGUAGCAUGUAAGGAAAAAUUCUUUCAUCUCUUCAAGAAGAUGUCUUAAAAAAAUAUGUGUAUUCGUGUUCCAGAAUUAUAUGAUCCUGGUACACAAGUAAAAACAUGAUGCAAUAACGUUGCUUCAUGCACUAUUAACGAAGAUCUAACUCUUGUAAUUACUUGCAUCAUAAAAGAUGUUAGGUACAGCUUGCUUGUCAUUGGAACAGGUUUUCUCAACAACUCGGGAAGUGCAUUAAAUGAUUUCUUUUUUUAAUAUAGCUAUCCGGAUCAGUUUGUGCAUAUCUUAAUUAAUUCUAUAAGACCUGAAAUUAACAACCAUGUAAACCUUCUAUAAUCUUGAAAUGAUUAACUCGAGUUUGUGAU